AGCAAGGUCAGCUAAUUAAGCUUUUGGCCCCAUACCCCAAACAUGACGGUUAAAAUCCCUCCUUUGCUA
rnacentral:tRNA from 2 species